AUGAACGCUGGCGGCGCGCCUAAUACAUGCAAGUCGAGCGAACAGACGAGGAGCUUGCUCCUCUAACGUUAGCGGCGGACGGGUGAGUAACACGUGGAUAACCUACCUAUAAGACUGGGAUAACUUCGGGAAACCGGAGCUAAUACCGGAUAAUAUAUUGAACCGCAUGGUUCAAUAGUGAAAGACGGUUUUGCUGUCACUUAUAGAUGGAUCCGCGCCGCAUUAGCUAGUUGGUAAGGUAACAGCUUACCAAGGCAACGAUGCGUAGCCG
rnacentral:rRNA from 1 species